AGAGUUUGAUCCUGGCUCAGGAUGAACGCUAGCUACAGGCUUAACACAUGCAAGUCGAGGGGAAACGACAUCGAAAGCUUGCUUUUGAUGGGCGUCGACCGGCGCACGGGUGAGUAACGCGUAUCCAACCUGCCCACCACUUGGGGAUAACCUUGCGAAAGUAAGACUAAUACCCAAUGACGUCUCUAGAAGACAUCUGAAAGAGAUUAAAGAUUUAUCGGUGAUGGAUGGGGAUGCGUCUGAUUAGCUUGUUGGCGGGUAACGGCCACCAAGGCUACGAUCAGUAGGGGUUCUGAGAGGAAGGUCCCCACAUUGGAACUGAGACACGGUCCAAACUCCGUACGGGGCA
rnacentral:rRNA from 1 species